GGCUAGUCCCAGUGCAGUGGUGUUUAUAACUUAUCAAUCGCAGCCAGUUACAGAUUUAUUUAUUCCUUCUUCACUCCCACUGCUUCACUUGACUACCCUUAA
ensembl:misc_RNA Y_RNA Y RNA